GACGAACGCUGGCGGCGUGCCUAAUACAUGCAAGUCGAGCGGACUGAAUGGGAGCUUGCUCUUGUUCGGUCAGCGGCGGACGGGUGAGUAACACGUGGGCAACCUGCCCGCAAGACCGGGAUAACUCCGGGAAACCGGAGCUAAUACCGGAUAACACCGAAGACCGCAUGGUCUUUGGUUGGAAGGCGGCGCAAGCUGCCACUUGCGGAUGGGCCCGCGGCGCAUUAGCUAGUUGGUGAGGUAACGGCUCACCAAGGCGACGAUGCGUAGCCGGCCUGAGAAGGUGACCGGCCACACUGGGACUGAGACACGGCCCAGACUCCUACGGGAGGCAGCAGUAGGGAAUCUUCCGCAAGAGGCGAAAGCCUGACGGAGCGACGCCGCGUGAGCGAAGAAGGCCUUCGGGUCGUAAAGCUCUGUUGUGAGGGACGAAGGAGCGCCGUUUGAAGAAGGCGGCGCGGUGACGGUACCUCACGAGGAAGCCCCGGCUAACUACGUG
rnacentral:rRNA from 1 species